rnacentral:rRNA from 1 species
CCUACGGGUGGCAGCAGUGAGGAAUAUUGGUCAAUGGGAGGAAUCCUGAACCAGCCAUGCCGCGUGCAGGACGACGGCUCUACGAGUUGUAAACUGCUUUUGUACCGGGGUAAAAUGCUCUACGAGUAGGGUUUUGAAAGUACGGUACGAAUAAGGAUCGGCUAACUCCGUGCCAGCAGCCGCGGUAAUACGGAGGAUCCGAGCGUUAUCCGGAUUUAUUGGGUUUAAAGGGUGCGUAGGUUGUUUUAUAAGUUAGCGGUGAAAUACCGAUGCUCAACAUCGGAGCUGCCGCUGAUACUGUAGGACUAGAGAUCGGAUGCAGCAGGCGGAAUGUGUAGUGUAGCGGUGAAAUGCAUAGAUAUUACACAGAACACCGAUUGCGAAGGCAGCUUGCUAGGCCGGAUCUGACACUGAUGCACGAAAGCGUGGGGAUCGAACAGGAUUAGAUACCCGAGUAGUC